ACCAGAUUAAGAGUUCGGCGUGAUUAUCAGAGCCUGAGUUAGAAACCGAGUCGGAGACUGGCAUGGGUUUCAAUUCAACUUGGAAACGGAGAUGUCCUCUUAUACUCCGCAUAAAAGGGGGGUCUCUGUUGUCUGGUUCAGCAUCUGUUCUCCUAAGCGAAGGAUCUGAGGCUUCUCACCUAUGUAGAGAAAGAAAUUGGAUUCGAAGCUUGUUCCAGCUGUUGGGCGAUUUUAAUUCGCAUGCAAGAGCAAAAGCUGGGGUGACUCUUCAAUCUGCAGCGUGAAAUAGCUGCUCAAUUCACUGGACACACUGCCACUUUUGCUUUGGUUAAUAACACCGCUCCACCACCGCUUCACAAAGCAUUCAUUAACUGUUUCUUUCUCUUUAUUUGUGAACAUCGAUUUAGCCAAUUCAUUUCAAAGCUUUUGUGCUUCUAUAUGCAGGCGUCGUUGUGUCUCUAUCACCAAGCCCAGCUAUCAAUUUUUACAGAGGUUACAGAAACGAAUUCAUUAAGGGUGAGGCUUUGUAUUACUUUGCUUGGCAUUUUGGUGGUGGUAUUUGGGUUUUGUAUUUCUUUUUGGCAGUGGUGGUGGAAAGGUUUUGCUACGGUGGAAGAGAAAAGCAAGGCAUGAAGCUUUUUAUGUAUUGCUGAGAUUGAAGGAAGAAAAUGUGGCGUCUUGUGCAGAGUUUUAGAAACAGAACUUGGCCAUUCAUGAAUGACCCUAUGUUCCAGCAUUAGAAACUGCAGCAGCCAAGCACGUUGAGACUUCGGCCGUUCAUGAACGACCAUAUCAGUCUAAACGCAAGAGAAGUUCUCUCGGCCA